CCCAAAAAAUUUGUUGCCCUUCCCUUCUAAAUCUUAGGCGACCUAACUAUUCUUCUUCUUCAACGUUUAGUCUUUUGACAUUGAUGAGACUGUAAAGUCAAUCAACAUCUCCUCUAUUCAUCAAAGUCAUCUUCAAUAGUGUAACACCCAAUAUAUCAGUCAACUCUUCAAUUUCCCACACUCACCAUAUAUAACUUUUUCACUGCUUUAUUUCUUGCCUUAUUCCAAACACCAGUUAAACAAAAAAUUUAUUCUUCAUUCUGAUUUUUUAUUUUUCUUAUAUGCCUCACAUAUUUUGAUUUCUUCAUCUCCGGAUAACGCUGCCAACAGAUUCGUCUCUAUAGCUUCAAUCGAGGAGGAAGCGAGAGGCCGUAGAAUCUGGGGACGAGAGGCGCUGCGUAUAGUGAGUCUGGAAACAAAUCUUCCGCGAAGAUCGCCGGAAUUGAAACCAGCAUGUACAGAUCAUAAACUGAAACUCUCAGUUUCGUUGUGGAAUACAGAUAUCAAAGAGGAUUUAAAAAAAAUGGUUGGGAGAGAAGACUUCCAGUGAGAGACCUAAGAAGAAACUGAAUGGAGCAUGUGAAGAAACAAGGGAGAAAAGUUUGUACAGUCGAUGAACUAAUCCAAGUGAUCACUCCGAAAGUUUGAGGUAUUGGACUUGGGUUAUUAUAAAAUGGAAAGUGGGAAAGAAGAGAGUAUGCAUACAUAUCUCUGGAAAGGGGUCUGCGCGUAUGAGUUAACCAAGAGUUCAAUUCAGCGAUAUUUUACAGGUGAAAUCUCCUUGCUCUUUCACUCAAAGAGAGAUUGAACAUCUCACGGACACCAUCCAGAAUGGUGGCACUGAAUAACAAAGGAGAAUUUACGAACCGUAACAAACCAAUCAUUCAACUGCAUAUGAAGCGAUGCUGCAGUAAUGCUACGGUCACGACUGUUGGCAACGACCUUAGAUAUGAUAGAUCCAGCACAGUGACAUGACUGACGGUAGAAACCAAAAUCAGAGUUACGCUAAAGCAAAGGGAACAAGGAAGCAUAAAGUAAAAACAAAGUUGUGAUUGCCCUCAUUUCCUUGCCUCUUCUGUGAAAACUUAGAAAUACUUUUGCUUUGUGUUUGUUAGUGUCUGUAAAUCCACAUCUAUAUGUAAUUAUAGGAGGAAGACAUUGGCCAACAGAAUGUUUCAUUUCAAAGACAUGCAUAGGGUAAAAAUAUAUAUUGUCAAAUGAGGGUUUACAGUAGGAAUACAUUUAUAUAUGUAUUAGUUGUGCUUUAGCAAAUGUUUAUGUAAAAAUGUUAUAGAUCGUCUCUA